CUCUGUUUAAUUACAUUUUUCAGGACUCUUGCCGUCUGCCAUCUUUGCUCGCAGUGGGAGUCACUGAGGGGCCCUCAUUUCACAUGCCAUCUCAUUUGGGUUCAAAAAUCCCUGACGCAAGACACCCGGCCUCACUGGAGAAAAGCUGAAAAGAGAUCACACCUCACCUCCCUAUUGGCAUCCAUGAAAUCACCUGACAGACAGACGGAGAGCGAAGUCUCAAUGGACGACGGGCUCAUGUAAUGGGAACCAGAAUGGCGAAGAACAUUGAAGGCAUCGCAACACUGUAACAGGGGUCAUGAAACAUGAAUAACCCAGAGCAGCACGAAGCCAUUCUGAUUUCAUGAUGACAACGAGGUUUCUCUCAAUAUUCACACCAAUACAAUUGAACAAAGUGAAAGAGAUGAGGGCAGGGGGAGAGAGAGAGAAAAAAGCACCCUGAUGAAAGUGGAGGCCGUUAUUUGAAAUUGAAAGAAUAUGAGGAUAGUUAGUGGCUGUAUUCCCAGCGGAUGCCUGGCUGUCACGGGUGUGGAGCUCUACUGUUUAAUGUACACUCAUGCUCCAUCACCCUUCCCGUUCCAUUAUUCCAAUCUCCAAACUGCCGUUUCAUGCACACUUGGGCCGACCCCAUGCUGCUCCCGCUAUUUAUUGAAUACAUUUUUUACUCCAAAAACAUUUUUCCACCUGAGCUGCCACUUACAACUUCCGUGGCCAUGAAAGCAUGCAAGAGAGAGAGAGAGAGAGGAAUAGAUGAAGAGAGAGGCAAGAUAAAGAGAAAAAGAAGGAGAGAUGAGGGAACAAGACGGAUCCCUCUGCUCCGUGACGCGUCCAUUUUUGUGACUCGCUUCUUGGGUUGACGCGGGUGAGCUAACGCGGAAUAAACUAACAGCGAAAGUCGUUUAUUUCUCUUUUUAUGUAUUGUAGGAGCCCAUCAACACACACUCUCUCUCGUCCUCAUGAAAAAUAAAAGUGGUGAAUAGGUUGUCCCCAGCUGUGAGGAGAUGUUCGGAAAUCAUAGAGAGGCGAGGACCUGAGGGAGUCUAUUGGUCACAUCUCCGAGACGAAGUAUCACUGAUUUUGUCCACAAUGUUGCUCUACCACCUGCUGAGUCGCUGCUGAAAUUGCUAUUGUCAACACAAGCGCACAUACGCACUUGCGCACACGCGACAUGGCUCUAAUUAAAGAGACUGUCCAAUGAAUGUCACUCCUGCUUUUCACAUUACUCCAUCUGACUUCUCUCCGUCAUGAUAGACUUUGUCACAUGGGUGGAUUAUGCUAAUUGUCCAUAAAUCUAGGGGCUUAUAUCAACUUAAUUUACACAAAUCCUUUGCCUUGGACCUCUGAAUUCAUGUCUGUCAUGAUCAAAGGCAGAAGAGAUCAUUCUCCGAAGAACAUAAAUUACAUAUGAAUAUCAGAUUUAUAGGUUUGACACAUAUCCUAAUUAGGCUAUGUAAAAACACUCAUAUCUAAUUUUUAUAUCUUUUUUUUUUUAAUUACAUGCUUUGUGAAUAUUUGAUUAAAUGACAUGUCACUUAUUUGAUUAAUGCUAUUAAUUCUCAUUCAUUUUCUUUUCAGCUUAGUCCCUUUAUUAAUUAGGGUU